GCAAACUUGGUCAUUUAGAGGAAGUAAAAGUCGUAACAAGGUUUCCGUAGGUGAACCUGCGGAAGGAUCAUUAUUGAAUAACUUGAUAGGUUGUCGCUGGCCUCUUGAGGCAUGUGCACGCCUGUCUUGACUCUAUUCAUCCACCUGUGCACCUUUUGUAGUUCUCUGUUCUCUGAAGGUCAAGAAAAAGCAAGCUAUUUGUUCAGUUGAAACAUACUGGAUUUGAAGACUGCCUCAUUGGCUCUCUUCUACUUAGCUAUGCAAAAUUGUGCCUUCUGGAGCAAUAGGAGAACUAUGUUCUUUAUACAUAAACCAUGUAGUAUGUUGCCAGAAUGUAUCAAUGGGCCUCUGUGCCUAUAAAACUUUAUACAACUUUCAGCAACGGAUCUCUUGGCUCUCGCAUCGAUGAAGAACGCAGC
rnacentral:misc_RNA from 1 species